GGGUUGUGAGGUUAAGCGAACAAGCGUACACGGUGGAUGCCCUGGCAGUCAGAGGCGAUGAAGGACGUGCUAAUCUGCGAAAAGACGCCGGUAAGGUGAUAUGAACCGUUAUAACCGGCGAUGUCCGAAUGGGGAACCGGUGCACUUCGGUGCAUCAUCGUUAGCUGAAUACAUAGGCUAACGAGGCGAACCGGGGGAACUGAAACAUCUAAGUACCCCGAGGAAAAGAAAUCAACCGAGAUUCCCCCAGUAGCGGCGAGCGAACGGGGAACAGCCCAGAGCCUGAAUCAGCUUGUGUGUCAGUGGAACGGUCUGGAAAGGCCGGCGAUACAGGGUGACAGCCCCGUACACGAAGGCACACAGGCUGUGAGCUCGAUGAGUAGGGCGGGACACGUGAUAUCCUGUCUGAAGAUGGGGGGACCAUCCUCCAAGGCUAAAUACUCCUGACUGACCGAUAGUGAACCAGUACCGUGAGGGAAAGGCGAAAAGAACCCCGGCGAGGGGAGUGAAACAGAACCUGAAACCGUGUACGUACAAGCAGUGGGAGCCUUCGUAAGAGGGUGACUGCGUACCUUUUGUAUAAUGGGUCAGCGACUUAUAUUCUGUAGCAAGGUUAACCGUAUAGGGGAGCCGAAGGGAAACCGAGUCUUAAUUGGGCGUUAAGUUGCAGGGUAUAGACCCGAAACCCGGUGAUCUAGCCAUGGGCAGGUUGAAGGUUGGGUAACACUAACUGGAGGACCGAACCGACUAAUGUUGAAAAAUUAGCGGAUGACCUGUGGCUGGGGGUGAAAGGCCAAUCAAACCGGGAGAUAGCUGGUUCUCCCCGAAAGCUAUUUAGGUAGCGCCUCGUGAACUCAUCUCCGGGGGUAGAGCACUGUUUCGGCUAGGGGGCCAUCCCGGCUUACCAACCCGAUGCAAACUGCGAAUACCGGAGAAUGUUAUCACGGGAGACACACGGCGGGUGCUAACGUCCGUCGUGAAGAGGGAAACAACCCAGACCGCCAGCUAAGGUCCCAAAGUCAUGGUUAAGUGGGAAACGAUGUGGGAAGGCCCAGACAGCCAGGAUGUUGGCUUAGAAGCAGCCAUCAUUUAAAGAAAGCGUAAUAGCUCACUGGUCGAGUCGGCCUGCGCGGAAGAUGUAACGGGGCUAAACCAUGCACCGAAGCUGCGGCAGCGACACUAUGUGUUGUUGGGUAGGGGAGCGUUCUGUAAGCCUGUGAAGGUGUGCUGUGAGGCAUGCUGGAGGUAUCAGAAGUGCGAAUGCUGACAUAAGUAACGAUAAAGCGGGUGAAAAGCCCGCUCGCCGGAAGACCAAGGGUUCCUGUCCAACGUUAAUCGGGGCAGGGUGAGUCGACCCCUAAGGCGAGGCCGAAAGGCGUAGUCGAUGGGAAACAGGUUAAUAUUCCUGUACUUGGUGUUACUGCGAAGGGGGGACGGAGAAGGCUAUGUCGGCCGGGCGACGGUUGUCCCGGUUUAAGCGUGUAGGCUGACUUUCCAGGCAAAUCCGGAAGGUUAAGGCUGAGGCGUGAUGACGAGGCACCACGGUGCUGAAGUGACAAAUGCCCUGCUUCCAGGAAAAGCCUAUAAGCAUCAGGUAACAUCAAAUCGUACCCAAAACGACACAGGUGGUCAGGUAGAGAAUACCAAGGCGCUUGAGAGAACUCGGGUGAAGGAACUAGGCAAAAUGGUGCCGUAACUUCGGGAGAAGGCACGCUGACAUGUAGGUGAAGCCCCUGCGGGUGGAGCUGAAGUCAGUCGAAGAUACCAGCUGGCUGCAACUGUUUAUUAAAAACACAGCACUGUGCAAACACGAAAGUGGACGUAUACGGUGUGACGCCUGCCCGGUGCCGGAAGGUUAAUUGAUGGGGUUAUCGCAAGAGAAGCUCCUGAUCGAAGCCCCGGUAAACGGCGGCCGUAACUAUAACGGUCCUAAGGUAGCGAAAUUCCUUGUCGGGUAAGUUCCGACCUGCACGAAUGGCGUAAUGAUGGCCAGGCUGUCUCCACCCGAGACUCAGUGAAAUUGAACUCGCUGUGAAGAUGCAGUGUACCCGCGGCAAGACGGAAAGACCCCGUGAACCUUUACUACAGCUUGACACUGAACAUUGAGCCUUGAUGUGUAGGAUAGGUGGGAGGCUUUGAAGCGUGGACGCCAGUCUGCGUGGAGCCGACCUUGAAAUACCACCCUUUAAUGUUUGAUGUUCUAACCUGGCGCCGUGAUCCGGCGUGGGGACAGUGUCUGGUGGGUAGUUUGACUGGGGCGGUCUCCUCCCAAAGUGUAACGGAGGAGCACGAAGGUCAGCUAAUCCUGGUCGGACAUCAGGAGGUUAGUGCAAUGGCAUAAGCUGGCUUGACUGCGAGAGUGACGGCUCGAGCAGGUGCGAAAGCAGGUCAUAGUGAUCCGGUGGUUCUGUAUGGAAGGGCCAUCGCUCAACGGAUAAAAGGUACUCCGGGGAUAACAGGCUGAUACCGCCCAAGAGUUCAUAUCGACGGCGGUGUUUGGCACCUCGAUGUCGGCUCAUCACAUCCUGGGGCUGAAGUAGGUCCCAAGGGUAUGGCUGUUCGCCAUUUAAAGUGGUACGCGAGCUGGGUUUAGAACGUCGUGAGACAGUUCGGUCCCUAUCUGCCGUGGGCGCUGGAGAAUUGAGGGGGGCUGCUCCCAGUACGAGAGGACCGGAGUGGACGCAUCACUGGUGUUCGGGUUGUCAUGCCAAUGGCACUGCCCGGUAGCUAAAUGCGGAAGAGAUAAGUGCUGAAAGCAUCUAAGCACGAAACUUGCCCCGAGAUGAGUUCUCCCUGAGACUAUAAGUCUCCUGAAGGAACGUUGAAGACGACGACGUUGAUAGGCCGGGUGUGUAAGCGCAGCGAUGCGUUGAGCUAACCGGUACUAAUGAACCGUGAGGCUUAACCUUACAACGCCAAAGAAGU
rnacentral:rRNA from 1 species